ACUUCUGAAAUGUUGACCUCGGAUCAGGUAGGAAUACCCGCUGAACUUAAGCAUAUCAAAAAACGGGGAGGAA
rnacentral:rRNA from 1 species